rnacentral:rRNA from 1 species
UGGUCAAGUUAUUAAGGGUGCAGGGCGGAUGCCUUGGCACUAGGAGCCGAUGAAGGACGUGAUAAGCUGCGAUAAGCUUCGGGGAGUUGCACGUAAACUUUGAUCCGAAGAUUUCCGAAUGAGGAAACUCACUUAGAGUAAUGUCUAAGUAUCAUUAAGUGAAUACAUAGCUUAAUGAGGGGAACUCAGGGAACGGAAACAUCUAAGUACCUGAAGGAAGAGAAAGAAAUUCGAUUCCGUAAGUAGCGGCGAGCGAACGCGGAUUAGCCCAAACCAAUAAAGUUUUCUUUAUUGGGGUUGCGGACAUAUCAUAACGAAGAGG